GUGCUUCAGCUUCUUGUGAUCGCUGCAUGCCAUCUUCGCCAUUCCCACUGAAGCGCUCUUCAGCACACACUCACGGUCGGAAAUCCCAGCCCAACAGCACAAAGGCGAAGCGUCAUCUCUGCUCACGGACAUCUCUGAAUCGCUCCCAGGCAAAGAGGGAGCAGCGAAACGCAAGACGCGCACCGCUCGCUGCAACUCCCCCCUCGCGCGACUCACUUUUCCUCCCCAUGACGGCCACACCAGAGAUGGCGGAGUACUGCCUCCGCGUCAUUGCACAGCAGAUCAGCGCCCCCGAUGGCCCAUCGGUGCCACUGCCAGUCAUCCCAAAGGAGGACUCGGCGUGCUUCGUGACACUCACGACACUGCCACAGGACCGGCUGCGCGGCUGCAUCGGAUCCCUACGGCCAGGGGACCUCAAGAAAGACAUGCGCCGACUCGCACUUGCCGCCGCCUUCCAGGACUCGCGUUUCCCCAAGGUGAAGGAGGAGGAGCUGCCGACGCUGCGGUGCUGCUUCAGCCUGCUGCACACCUUUGAGCCAUGCUCUGCCUGGAAUGACUGGGAAAUCGGCAAGCACGGCCUCAUCGCCGAUUACGACGGCUACAGCGCCACGUACUUGCCAUCGGUGGCGGAGGAGCAAGGGUGGAACCACAGAGAAACCCUCGUGAGCCUGCUGGAGAAGGCGGGCUUUGAGGAGCCGGUGACGGACCAUGUGCUGGGGAAGGUACGCCUGACCCGGUAUCAGGUCAGUAAAGCCUUUAAGGACUACAGGGAUAUUGUCGCUUCGUGAGCGGCGCCGUCGUCUGCAGCCGCGUUGUAGGUGUGCGCGGGGACUGGUAAGAGUCGGCUUCCACCUCAGUGCACACGCACAGUCACACACGAGGACGCACACGAAGACGCAAAAGGCGGCGUUGUGCCGCCAUCUCUCAAGCGUGCCUUUUUUACGUUUCGCUGUGCCUUGCCUCCGUUCCUCUUAGUGUACCCAUUGUGCUCUUGGGUGUUGGGGCGUACCUCAAAAAACACUCGCCGCCCCCGCCCCCCUCCCUCCCUCUCUCUCUUUUGCGCGCUGUGCUCCAGGCUGCACAUCUGUGCCUUGCUGUGGCAAGGUAAUGUCUCGUUUUAUGUGUCCUGUUUUGGUCCAGCUUCUUGCGCCCUAUUCUAUACAGCUCUUUACUCCCGUCGUGCAGCAGUGCGUGCGAGUGUGUGCGUGUGCCCCACGCGUUUCGCUAUUUCAAUACUCUUUCCGUUUCAUCCGGCGCUCAAAAAAAAACGAAGAGGCACCGCAGCCACAUGAGCAAGGCGAAACAUAG
rnacentral:misc_RNA from 1 species